GUUCCCGUCGAUUAGUGGUCAGAUCAUCACGUUGUGGCUUCGAGCACAGCUGGAUUUAAACCGUGGGGACGAGGGCUCGACUCCCUCCGGGAACA